rnacentral:tRNA from 1 species
ACUAAGUUGGCAGAGUUAUGCAGUUGAUUUAGGAUCAAAAGACAGAAUAUUUUCUACUUAGUA